rnacentral:rRNA from 1 species
UUGAUCCUGGCUCAGGAUGAGCGCNAGCGGCAGGCCUAACACAUGCAAGUCGAGGGGUAACGAUGGCUUCGGCCAUGCGACGACCGUGCGCACGUGUGAGUAUCGCGUUUGUAACCUACCUCUGACUGGAGGAUAGCCCGAAGAAAUUCGGAUUAAUACUCCAUAAUACUAUGGACAGGCAUCUGUACAUGGUUAAAGCCCCGGUGGUCAGAGAUGGGCAUGCGUGACAUUAGCUUGUCGGUGAGGUAACAGCUCACCAAGGCUACGAUGUCUAGGGGGUCUGAGAGGAUGGUCCCCCACACUGGUACUGAGACACGGACCAGACUCCUACGGGAGGCAGCAGUGAGGAAUAUUGGUCAAUGGGCGAAAGCCUGAACCAGCCAUGCCGCGUGAAGGAUGACAGCCCUAUGGGUUGUAAACUUCUUUUGUACGGGAAGAAACGCCUCUACGUGUAGAGGUUUGACGGUACCGUACGAAUAAGCAUCGGCUAACUCCGUGCCAGCAGCCGCGGUAAUACGGAGGAUGCAAGCGUAAUCCGGAUUCAUUGGGUAUAAAGGGUACGUAGGCGGGAGCUUAGGUCAGUGGUGAAAUCCUGCAGCUUUAACCUGUAGAACUUGUCAUUGAUACUGG